rnacentral:rRNA from 1 species
AUUGAACGCUGGCGGCAGGCUUAACACAUGCAAGUCGAGCGAGCGGCGGACGGGUGAGUAAUGUCUGGGAAACUGCCUGAUGGAGGGGGAUAACUACUGGAAACGGUAUCUAAUACCGCAUACCAUCAGAUGUGCCCAGAUGGGAUUAGCUAGUAGGUGGGGUAAUGGCUCACCUAGGCGACGAUCCCUAGCUGGUCUGAGAGGAUGACCAGCCAAGCGGGAACUGAGAAACGGUCAAGAUGCCUACGGGAGGCAGGAGUGGGGAAUAUUGCACAAUGGGCGCAAGCCGGAGGCAGCCAUGCCGAGUGGGUGAAGAAGGCCUUCGGGUAGUAAAGCACUUUUAGCGAGGAGGCGGUACUCGCAGAAGAAGCACCGGCUAACGCCGUGUCAGCCGCCGCGGUAAUAC